CAAGGAGCCAGUCUGAGUUUAUCUUCCCAAUAAGUCACACUGAAGGCGAUGGACGUUUGAGCUGCUGCAAAGUGGUGGAGUCUCAGGUACGUCUCUACGCCGAUGAUGUAACGCUGAUCUGCUAGCUGACAUCAAAGGACGUCUGACUGCAGAUAAAAAGGCCGGAGGAAUGUGAGUGAGCAUUGGGGGAGAUAAGCCUGUCACAGUUUCCCUGCAGACUGAAGCGCGGGGAGCACAUCUCAAACAGCAGGACAACUGGCCAGCAGCGAUAGCCAGCCAACAUCACAGUGAGAGACUGAGGAGCCGCUGGUGUGUGUGUUUGUGUGUGUGUUUGGGGGGGGAUGCAUCAAAAACUGGGGUUGCUUUCAGAGGAUCUAAGCCACUCAGCAGCAGUAUCUGUGACAGAGCCGGCCUAAUUGUUUUUGCUUCCAAACAAGAUUCACGUUGUUUUCAAAGCAGAGAGGAAAAUGGAUGAUUGAUGGAAGUGAGCCGUGGGUGAUGAUGCUUUUGAGGUUUUACUGGAGGGUGGAAGGUUGAACAAUUGCAUUAAAAGCCAUUUGUAUUCACAAUCUAAGGACUUGCAAUGGCAACAUUAAAACAGACAAAACCAGUAUGCUAGGCUGCAUUAUUCUGGUGUUUUAUUAAGUUUGGUUGUCAGAACAAAGUUUCUUCCCCCUGUACGGAUUUCUUCUCUUAUACGUUGAUGUUUUUAGAUGAUGAAAUAACUUUUAAUAUCAGAUUGUAAUGACCUGAGUAAAUGCAAAAUGUAGUUUUCAAAUAAUUUCAUUUAUCAGAAGAGAAAAGCAAUCAAAAAACUAACCUUGUGUAAAAAAAAAAAAAAAAAGGUAUUUGCCCCUUAACCUGAUAUGGAUGGUCCAUCUUUGGUGGCAAAAAUUAUCAUAUGACUGUAAAAACUAACAUGCAUGUAGGGAGGAAAUCUGGUCCACUGUUGUUUAUAUGAUUGUUUUAAUUCAGCCAGAUUGGAGGGUUUUCUAACAUGACCAUAAGCAUCAUAACCAGAUUUAAGUCAGAACUUUGACUAUGCCAUUCCAAGUCCUUAAUUUUGUUGUUUAAUUUAAUGUGGGUAGCGUAGACUUGUAUUUCGUGGCCAAUAUCAACUGCAGAGUGCAUAUUUGUGUAAACUUUAUACAUAAAGCAGAUGUUAAAAUUCACUAAAUACAAGCCGAGAACAGCAACUACUUUAUGUAUCAAUGUUAGCAUGUUUGGGUUCUAGAUGGAGCCAAAUCUAAGGAGAACCACAUUAGUAAUGUUCUCGUGAAAUAUUUGGAGUACUGUCACUAAUAAACAGGACACAGAACUAGGACAUUUCUGUCAAAACCUGCCACUAGUAAUCGUUUAAAAAAAUGUAAAUGUCAAGAACACAGUGAGACAACUGAAUGAAUUAAUGAUAUAUGUUACAAUACUAAUGUAGAAUAUGUGAUACUAAUAUAAUGCAGUUUGUUAU